CCCCGUGCGGGCCGAUGUGGCGGGGUAAGACGUGGUGGUCGUGCGUGGGUAGGAGUGAUUGGGCGGGCAGGGCUGGGAGGCGGUUUGGCAAGGCGGGUGUGAAAGCCCCGGGCUAAAGUCGGAGGCGUCACUCGAGACUGCCAUGAUUCGAGUCCGGUAGGGGAGUGCGGAAUUGCUGGUGUAGCGGUGAAAUGCGCAGAUAUCAGGAGGAACACCGGUGGCGAAGGCGGCACUCUGGGCCGGUACUGACGCUGAGGAGCGAAAGCGUGGGGAGCGAACAGGAUUAGAUACCCGAGUAGUC
rnacentral:rRNA from 1 species